rnacentral:tRNA from 1 species
GAGGGUGUAUAGCUCAGUGGUAGAGCAUUCGACUGCAGAUCGAGUGGUCCCCGGUUAAAACCCGGGAGUCUUUUUCUUCA